rnacentral:rRNA from 1 species
UACGUAGGGGGCAAGCGUUGUCCGGAAUCAUUGGGCGUAAAGAGCGCGUAGGCGGCCCAGUAAGUCCGCUCUGAAAGUCAGGGGCUCAACCCCUGAAUGCGGGUGGAUACUGCUGGGCUAGAGUCCGGAAGAGGCGAGUGGAAUUCCUGGUGUAGCGGUGAAAUGCGCAGAUAUCAGGAGGAACACCAAUGGCGAAGGCAGCUCGCUGGGACGGUACUGACGCUAAGGCGCGAAAGCGUGGGGAGCAAACAGG